rnacentral:misc_RNA from 1 species
AAAACAUAACAUUUACACCUUUUCUUUCCCGCAGAUAGCCUCAUCUCCGCACCACACGCGAGGACAUCAACUUAGCCGAGAAUUGUGUUAAAGAGGUGAUGGGAGACAUACCCAACUCAAUUUAGCUGAGGAUCACCUCAGCUAAUCGGGUCUCACCUCUCAGGUCUCUCCUCUCUUCUUAAUUUAUGGACAUCCACACUUGAAAGAACAAUUACAAAGUUGAUUUUUUUUUCCUUAGGUGGGUUCGGUGAUAGGCAAGCUCAGCUCUACAUUAGACCGAGGCUCAUCUGCGUUUUGGUUCCUACCCCACCCAACAAUGCUAGAAAGCCAACGAGGCGGCAAGAAAAGGGGAUCCAAACCCAAAUCGCAGGCAAUUGAUUCUUCCACUUUGGCCAUCGAUGAAGAUUGGGUCACUAAGUAUGCCCGCCAAGUUUCGAAACUGUUACUGGUUAUGAAGGUGGUUGGCAUUUAUGUCUGGAUUAUCGAUACCUGUUUCAAGAAUUCAACCAUUACUCUUUGCCAGGCGGUUUUUCCUAUUUCUAAUUCCACUUUAAUUUCCUUGGAUUCUCUAUCUUUCGAGAUAAUAAUCUGUAUUGUAGACUCUUUGCCUGAUGCUGCCCUCUUUAUGAGUGUGAAUUUCUUGUAUUCAUUGAUAUAAUUGGCAACUUAUUUUUUUCUUAUUUGAUAUGAGCUGGAGAUAUAAGGCUGGUUUGUUCUUGAUAGCUGCUGUUGUUAUUAUAUGGGUCACCUCUGCGGAAGUCACCCAGGGUAUCUUUACAGAUUACAAGCAGCCAUUUGCAGUGACAUAUCUUGGAGCUUCCUUGAUGGUAGUUUACCUUCCAGUAGCAUUUCUUAAAGACUGGAUAUGUAAGAUACUAAAGCAUCGCUCUUCUAAAAGUGGUAAAGAUGCAGGAAGCAUAAAUGAGUCUUCUGAUGGAUUUAACUCUCCUCUAAGCGAGAAAAUUUUUGAAAUUGAACUUCAGGGAACUUUGACCAGAAAAGACAGUGAG